AAAAAUAAGAGUUUGAUCCUGGCUCAAAACGAACGCUAGUUAUAUGAUUAACAAAUGCAAGUCGAACGUAGCUUGCUUCCCCAUACAUCCAUGUGGGGGCAGAAGGGCAAGAGGAAUGACCCCCUCCUAGCACGUGCUCACUCACUCAAAUGAUAUGCAAGUGGUGUGUCGGGCAUGGGGAACAACAAGCAAAGUGGUGAACGAGUGCGUAAUGCAUGGGAAUCUACCAAACAGUUCACUCCAAAUCCUAAAUAAUUCAUAAAGCAAGCUAAUUUGCAUUUUUUGAUGAGCCCGCGUAGUAUCAAGUAGUUUGUUAGGUAAAGGAUGA
rfam:Picea glauca, whole genome shotgun sequence.